rnacentral:rRNA from 2 species
UGGGGAAUAUUGCACAAUGGGCGCAAGCCUGAUGCAGCCAUGCCGCGUGUAUGAAGAAGGCCUUCGGGUUGUAAAGUACUUUCAGCGGGGAGGAAGGGAGUAAAGUUAAUACCUUUGCUCAUUGACGUUACCCGCAGAAGAAGCACCGGCUAACUCCGUGCCAGCAGCCGCGGUAAUACGGAGGGUGCAAGCGUUAAUCGGAAUUACUGGGCGUAAAGCGCACGCAGGCGGGUUGUUAAGUCAGAUGUGAAAUCCCCGGGCUCAACCUGGGAACUGCAUCUGAUACUGGCAAGCUUGAGUCUCGUAGAGGGGGGUAGAAUUCCAGGUGUAGCGGUGAAAUGCGUAGAGAUCUGGAGGAAUACCGGUGGCGAAGGCGGCCCCCUGGACGAAGACUGACGCUCAGGUGCGAAAGCGUGGGGAGCAAACAGG